AAUGCGUUUGCAAGCGCAAGAGAAAUAGAAAGAUAAGAUAGUUAAAUGCAAAUAUAAGUGCUACAUAAAGUCACAUGACUGACACGAUAGUGCAUAGGGCGUACUUAUUCUAGUUGACAUAAAUUAUUUCAUCAGUGUUAACAGAUCACGGGCAAAGUUCCGGGAGUAUUUUUGAAAACAGCUGGAGGUUAUCGCUAUUAAGCAAUGAAAAGAGUUCACUGGGGAAUUUUGAGCCUGUAUUAAAUAUUGAAUAAAGUUAUUGAUAAAAAGAAGUGAGGAAAAAUAUAGGAACCUUGUUGAUGAUGAUAAUGAGCUAUAUAUUGAAAGAUACAAGCACAAGCAGCUCACUUACAAUGAUAGAUUUGACAUUUUUCCUGUUAGUCAGUACUACGUUAUCACGAGCAAGUGUUGAUUCUAAAGUCUGUGACUUUGAACAUGGCCUGGGUACGAAUUUAUGUCCAUGGUAUAAUUUUGAGGGAAUUGAUGAUGGGAACUGGAUUGUCGAUAAUGGCUGGAUUCUCGGCCACCCCUCAAC